rnacentral:rRNA from 1 species
UAAGGCCUCGCGCGAUUGGAGCGGCCGAUGUCUUAUUAGGUAGUUGGUAGGGUAAAGGCCUACCAAGGCGACGAUCCGUAGCGGGUCCGAGAGGAUGAUCCGCCACACUGGGACUGAGACACGGCCCAGACUUCUACGGGAGGCAGCAGUGGGGAAUUUUGGACAAUGGGCGAAAGCCUGAUCCAGCCAUGCCGCGUGAGUGAAGAAGGCCUUCGGGUUGUAAAGCUCUUUCAGACGGAAAGAAAUCGCAUCUUCUAAUACAGGGUGUGGAUGACGGUACCGUAAGAAGAAGCACCGGCUAACUACGUG